UUGCAAGUAGAACGCUGAAGAGAGGAGCUUGCUCUUCUUGGAUGAGUUGCGAACGGGUGAGUAACGCGUAGGUAACCUGCCUUGUAGCGGGGGAUAACUAUUGGAAACGAUAGCUAAUACCGCAUAACAAUGGAUGACACAUGUCAUUUAUUUGAAAGGGGCAAUUGCUCCACUACAAGAUGGACCUGCGUUGUAUUAGCUAGUAGGUGAGGUAAUGGCUCACCUAGGCGACGAUACAUAGCCGACCUGAGAGGGUGAUCGGCCACACUGGGACUGAGACACGGCCCAGACUCCUACGGGAGGCAGCAGUAGGGAAUCUUCGGCAAUGGGGGCAACCCUGACCGAGCAACGCCGCGUGAGUGAAGAAGGUUUUCGGAUCGUAAAGCUCUGUUGUAAGUCAAGAACGGGUGUGAGAGUGGAAAGUUCACACUGUGACGGUAGCUUACCAGAAAGGGACGGCUAACUACGUGCCAGCAGCCGCGGUAAUACGUAGGUCCCGAGCGUUGUCCGGAUUUAUUGGGCGUAAAGCGAGCGCAGGCGGUUUGAUAAGUCUGAAGUUAAAGGCUGUGGCUCAACCAUAGUUCGCUUUGGAAACUGUCAAACUUGAGUGCAGAAGGGGAGAGUGGAAUUCCAUGUGUAGCGGUGAAAUGCGUAGAUAUAUGGAGGAACACCGGUGGCGAAAGCGGCUCUCUGGUCUGUAACUGACGCUGAGGCUCGAAAGCGUGGGGAGCGAACAGGAUUAGAUACCCUGGUAGUCCACGCCGUAAACGAUGAGUGCUAGGUGUUGGAUCCUUUCCGGGAUUCAGUGCCGCAGCUAACGCAUUAAGCACUCCGCCUGGGGAGUACGACCGCAAGGUUGAAACUCAAAGGAAUUGACGGGGGCCCGCACAAGCGGUGGAGCAUGUGGUUUAAUUCGAAGCAACGCGAAGAACCUUACCAGGUCUUGACAUCCCGAUGCUAUUUCUAGAGAUAGAAAGUUACUUCGGUACAUCGGUGACAGGUGGUGCAUGGUUGUCGUCAGCUCGUGUCGUGAGAUGUUGGGUUAAGUCCCGCAACGAGCGCAACCCCUAUUGUUAGUUGCCAUCAUUCAGUUGGGCACUCUAGCGAGACUGCCGGUAAUAAACCGGAGGAAGGUGGGGAUGACGUCAAAUCAUCAUGCCCCUUAUGACCUGGGCUACACACGUGCUACAAUGGUUGGUACAACGAGUUGCGAGUCGGUGACGGCGAGCUAAUCUCUUAAAGCCAAUCUCAGUUCGGAUUGUAGGCUGCAACUCGCCUACAUGAAGUCGGAAUCGCUAGUAAUCGCGGAUCAGCACGCCGCGGUGAAUACGUUCCCGGGCCUUGUACACACCGCCCGUCACACCACGAGAGUUUGUAACACCCGAAGUCGGUGAGGUAACCUUUUGGAGCCAGCCGC
rnacentral:rRNA from 1 species